GUGGGGAAUAUUGGGCAAUGGGCGAAAGCCUGACCCAGCCACGCCGCGUGAGUGAUGAAGGCCUUCGGGUCGUAAAGCUCUGUCGCAGGGGAAUAACACAAUGAAGGUACCCUGUAAGAAAGGAUCGGCUAACUUCGUGCCAGCAGCCGCGGUAAGACGAGGGAUCCUAGCGUUGUUCGGAAUCAUUGGGCGUAAAGCGGAUGUAGGUGGCUAUGUAAGUCAGAUGUGAAAGCCUGGGGCUCAACCCCAGAAGUGCAUUUGAUACUGCGUAGCUUGAGUGUCGGAGAGGUUACUAGAAUUGUUGGUGUAGUGGUGAAAUACGUAGAUAUCAACAGGAAUACCGGAGGCGAAGGCGGGUAACUGGCCGAACACUGACACUGAGAUCCGAAAGCGUGGGGAUCAAACAGGAUUAGAAACCCUAGUAGUCC
rnacentral:rRNA from 1 species